GAGCAAAAGCCAAGCAUCAAAGAGAUGUUAUCACUGAAAGGCAUCCGUCAAGAGAAAGGUUUAUAAAAAUAAGAUAAAAAAAAAAAUAAAUGUCCACAGCAUUGGAUAUAGCAUGGAACACAGUGAAGCCAGUCAUCAAAAAAGGCAGAAAUAUGGGACAACAGUGAUGAAAAGACAAGAUGGAAACUGGUCCGGGAGGCUGCCAAGAGCCCUACAGCAACACUGAAGGAGCUGCAGGAAAUUCUGACGGUUUUCAAGUGCUGGAAGAGAACAAGGGAAGCAUAACAGUGCUGGACAGGCUGUUAAAGACCAGAGAGAAGAGUGGAAGAUGGGCCAAAGGGGAAAACGGUAACCUCUUACAGCAAGGCCACAAUCCUCUCCUCCCUCACUGUGGUCUGGCAAAACUCUCCAGUACUCUCAUUUGCACAAUGACGGGCAUUACGCUCCUUCAAAGAGUCACGGACAUGAACCACUCCAAAAGUGGAACAACUCAUCACAUUUGCUAGCCUUGUCCCCAUGACUAAUUUCUCUUCAAUAAUUCCCCCAAGUAUGUUUUACAGUCAACUAGAGGGACUGUGAAAAUUUAAGUUGCUUGUAAGGUUUGGGAAUUUGAGGAGCAAACGUGUCUUUUAUAUCUCUCAAUAUCUCUUACAGUAGUUCACUAAUGUUUUGGCUACAAGUUUUGAGGCUUAAUUAGUCCCCAGAGUGCAUUGUUGCUCCAAAAAAGGUCUGCAAAAGGCCUGCAGUAUGAGUUAUUUCACAUGAGAAACUUCUAGAUCUUUAUUUUUCCACUGCGGUCUACUUGGUCAAUUAAAGUGGAUGUGACGCAAUCAAAAAAGCUGAUGAACUGAAAAAUAUUCGAGCCAAAAUGUGAUGACAGAUAUGAGGUAAUCAAAAUAUUAUUCAACCACCCCCAUACGAUUCUAAAUUUAGAGUUCUCGGCAUAAAAAAAUGACAUAUUUAAAGUUUUUUCUUAAGCUUUUGUCAUUAAAAAAGUGUUAUGGUGCUGCAGUGAAUAAAUGUGGUACGCUUGUAUACAUCGGACAACCAAAUGAUGAGGCGAAAGAUGCCAAGGUGUUUAACAGGAAGAAUGCUCCUAGAGCUGUAAUGCUCUAUGGGUUCCUCAUAAUGUCGGUAUAUCUGUGUAGCAUCUGGUUACAUGCAUGUGAAAAGCAGUGUUGUGCAACCGAAGCAACGAUAGUGAACUUUUACGGCCAACAUCAAAGCUGCUCUCAUCUUCCUCCUUCUAUCAUUCUAAAUUAGCUUUACUUCCUGCUCUUCAGCUGACCCUUUAAUGCUCAUAGCCCAUCAAAGUCUACAUGGAAAUGUCUUGGCUGACAUUAUUGAUUAAUGUGAUUUACCGACUUUUUCUUAUGUCUUGAAUUUAAAAAAAAAAAAAAAAAAAAAA